GUGCUCGCUUUGGUGGCACAUAUACUAAAUAUGGAACGAUAGAGAGAUUAGCAUGGCCCCUGUGCAAGGAUAACAGGCAAAUUCAUGAAGCAUUCCAUGUUUUU